rnacentral:rRNA from 1 species
UACGUAGGGUGCAGGCGUUAAUCGGAAUUACUGGGCGUAAAGCGUGCGCAGGCGGUCUGUUAAGACAGAUGUGAAAGCCCCGGGCUCAACCUGGGAAUUGCAUUUGAGACUGCAUAGCUAGGGUGCGGAAGAGGGAAGCGGAAUUUCCGGUGUAGCGGUGAAAUGCGUAGAUAUCGGAAGGAACACCAGUGGCGAAAGCGGCUUCCUGGUCCAGCACCGACGUUCAGGCACGAAAGCGUGGGGAGCAAACAGG